rnacentral:lncRNA from 1 species
CUGUGUGUGGUCGACCUCUGGGAAGGCCCUCGCCUUGCAGCCUCGGUGCAGUGGGACAGCAGUUCUGUUUUUUCCAGUCAGUCACUGGUGGCCAUCAAUGAUGACAGGUGGCUGGAGCCACUCACCGUGGCCAUCCUGGAGAAGAUAAAGAAUAGCGGUGACAAUGAGGAGCAGAAGGU